AAGCCGAUCGCGCGGGAGGGGCUAGGGAUGCGCACGCGCAGGGGUCUUCCCGCGCUUGCGCGCAGUGAGUCGGUAUCACGCUCCGCCCCGAAACGUGUGGAAAGGCGCGGAUUACCGUUAGCCGCCGCCGCGGCGUCCUCUGAAACCGGCGUCGCCGCUGUGAAAGGCCUGGCAGUUGCGUUCUCCGCCGGACAAAGCCUGUGUUUCCUGCUCGCGAGGUUCCGGUGAGAAGACUGCGAGGUGAGGUGCGUCUGGGAGGCUCCCGGGCCGUGGCGCCGGUCACAUCUUCCUCGGCGUUAGAACCGGGAGGCGACGGGCUUGGCGGGAAUGGAACUGGGCUUAUGGAGCUUCACAAGAUCCUCCCGUUUAGUGUCUUUCGCUCGACCCAGCGCUUUGGUGAGGAAGACUUUGGGGCGGGGGACCCCACCCCGCCGGCUUCACUGCGUCCCCUCGGGGCUCGCGUGGUUUCCGUGCAGUCAAGCGGCGUGGAAUGAGCGCCCACGACCUGUGGGGGGGCCUCGGCCUUGUAGACUGCGCACCCAGAGGGCACGGCGCCUUCUGAAAGAUGCACAGUCCUCCUCAGAUGAUGACGAAGUGAACGCGUGUUGGUGGUGGGCAAAGAUAAAACAAGCAGCGCUAAACGUUAGAGAACGUGGACUGGACGUCCCCGCUACGCGACCUCCUUGCGAUUGCCGUUGGUACGCUAGGCUGGCUCAGCCUCCGUAUUUUUUGUGCAAAUCUAUGUCCGUACAUUUCUCUGUUUGGUAACAGAUUUCUCCACCUGACACUUGCGGAUUGCCCCCUGUCUGCCAGCUACUGCCCUAGGCCAGGGAUUGGCCACCUUCCUCCAUAAAGGGCCAGAUAGCGAAUAUUUUAGGCGCUGUGGGCCAAGAGGCACAAUGGAGCAUAUCAUGCAGGUAGUUGCAUAACCAAGGAGAAAAAUGUCUCUAACAUUUUUUUUUUAAUUGGUGGUAAUUUGAAAGACCCAGGUUGACGAGAGCUACUCCAUUUGGAAAGCUGACAUUUUGGGGGCUCCUCUGGGAUUAUGCGGGUUAAAUCAGCGACCCCUGGAGGAGAUAGUUUGGGGCGCAUACAGAACGAGUUGGACGCGCUCUUCAUUCUUGCGCUGGUGAGAUGAGGACGCCCUACUCUCACCCAGAGGACUCCCUUCUGCGGAGGUGAGUCUGUCGGGUCUGUUUUCAGGUUCAGUCUUUAUCUUCAUUACCUGUACAGGUCCCCUUAAGGGGCGCAGCCGCCAGAAAAACUUUAUUAGUCACUGCCUGCCAUCUGUGUUAAUUGUUGCUGUUUGUCUCGCGUUUUUGUCAUAUCUGUCCUUAAGAUGUGGCAAACCACCUCCUCCCCAUUAGAUCUCAUAAUCAGCCAUAUUCACGAUUUCAGGAAUGCUGUAUCCUCCACCAGCCAACAUGUCAAGCCAGGCUGACUCCGUAUGCUUUGCAGCCUCGAAUGGCCAACCUUUGAUGUGGGGUGGCCAUCCAAGGGAACCUUUGACCUGCAGGUUGUCAGGAGAACAAAAGAAGUAAUCUUCAGUGACCCCGGCCAUCUGGACCAGAUUCCAUACAUUAUAGGCUGGCAGUACCUUUUAGAAACACCCCCGCCCUGGUUAAAACCUUUUCUUCCUCCUAGGACCCUAGUGGCUAAGAAAUUACCGCCACCCUAAGAACCGGAAGUAUUAAGAGCCCUGGGCCCCAGAAGACAAUGAGGUUCUUUGGCCACCUUAUGUGCUGCCUCCCUCUGGUCCUGAGCCCUCUGUGUCAGCGGGCUCUCCCGAUGGUUCCCAUGCUUCCCGUCUUUACCCCGAGGUCCCCACUAACCCUUCCCCUUCAUCCUCCUCAACUGACACCGAGGAGGACCCUGAACCUCUGAGCCCACCCUCCACUGGGUCUGGGCGCAAACGAGGGGGAGAUCAAGUUCGGCUUGCGCCCACGGCCCUCCUGCUCCGGGCGGCAGGACCCCGGGGCCAGACGGUCAGAUGUUUCUGUCCUACCUACCCUUUGCCACUAGUGACCUUUAUAACUGGAAAAUGCAGAAUCCCCCUUUCUCAGAAAAACCUCAGGCUUUGAUUAGCCUUUUGGACAGCAUUCUGUUCACCCACCAGCCCACUUGGGAGGACUUCUCCAGGUCCUAUUCACCACCGAGUUCCACAGGGUGGUCCGAGGCCGGGAUGGCCGGCCAACGACGAAUGCGGCAGACAUUGACAGUUCCUUUCCCCUCACACACCCCGUUUGGGAUCACAGCUCGACUGAAGGUAGGGAGCGGCUGAAGGUCUACCGCCAGGUUCUUACGGGGGGUCUCAGGGCAGCAGCCAGGCGCCCUACCAAUUUGAGUAAGGUUAGCGGAGUCAUACAGGGAAAAGAUGAAUCCCCGGGAGCCUUCCUCAAGCGCCUGCUAGAGGUCUAUCGAAUGUUCACCCCCUUGGACCCUAUGGCUGAAGAAAACAGAAUUGCAAUAAAUCUCUCCUUUGUUAAUCAGUCUGCUCCGGAUAUUAGAAGGAAACUCCAAAAACUUGAGGGUUUUGAGGGAGAAGUGCUCAGCAAACUAGUGGCUAUAGCUACCAAGAUAUACAAUAACUGUGAUUCUCCAGAAGAUAGACCCAUGGAUUGCCAGGGGUCCUCCUGCCAGCCGGGUUGGGCGAAAAAUACCCAGAGCCCUGGGUGAAGGGCAGAGGAGGGGAAGGGAGAGAAGCUUCAAGGGAGGACCCUGUGGAGGGGGACUCUCAACCCCCAGAAAACAGGUGGCCAUCCCUUCCCCGGGACAUAUGCACAUAUUAUAAAAAGCCGGGACAUUGGGAAAACCAGUGCCCACAUCGCCCAAAGCCUCCUAAAAAGGUACUGGAACUGUCGGGCCUAGAUGAAUGAGGGGAACGGGGCUCAAACCCCCUCUUUGAGUCUUGGGUAACUCUAAAAGUGGAGGGGAAAGAUGUCCGCUUCCUGGCUGACUCGGGGGCAGAACAUUCUGUCGUAAAACAACCUUUGGGCCCCCUAAGCAAAAACCAAGCCUGGAUCCAAGGAGCAACAGGGAUGAACAUAUACCCCUGGACCACCCAAAGACAGGUGGAUCUAGGUAAUGGCCUCGUGACUCAUUCCUUUAUGGUCAUUCCCUAGUGCCCCUACCCCCUCUUGGGACGGGACUUAUUGACCAAAAUGAGGGCCCAGAUAUGUUUUGACCCUAAAGGAGUGACUGUCAACAAAGACCCCUUGGGCCCUCUGACUGUGAAACUAGAAGAUGAAUACCACUUGUUCAUGUUCCCUCCCACAGAGACUCAAAAUCUCCUACAGAAAUUAAAACAAACAAUUCCUGAGGUAUGGGCUGAAAAUAACCCCCCACGGAUGGCCAAACAUCGGGCCCCAAUUCUAGUAGCCCUAAAACCAGGGGUACACCUGCCCAGAUUCGACGGUUAUGGGACCAUGGUAUCUUAACACCAUGUCAAUCUGCCUGGAACACCCCCCUGCUGCCAGUCAAAAAGCCAGGAACAAAUGAUUGCCGGCCGGUGCAGAACCUACGGGAAGUAAACUCUUGGACUGAGGAUAUCCAUCCAAUGGUACCAAACCCAUACACCCUCCUGGGCACCCUGCCACCCGACCACAAAGUAUACACGGUGUUCGACUUAAAAGACGCGUUCUUCAGCCUCCGCCUAGCCCCAGUCAGCCAACACCUCUUUGCAUUUGAAUGGUGAGAUUCAAUGGACAACUCACCUGGACCUGGUUGCCACAAGAGUUCAAAAUUCCACCAGCAAUCUUCGAUGAGGCUGUCCGUGAGGGCUGAGGUGAGCUCCGACGAGAACAUACAGAGUCCGCCACGGGUUAGGUUCCUGGCACUCAUGGCCCUGAAUCCUGCCACCCUACUGCCCGAUUCCUGUGACACCAUCCUUCACUGCUGCUCUGAGACUCUGGAGGCCAUCCAGGGCACCAGACCGGACCUGCGGGAUAUGCCAUGGCCUGACCCAGAUGUCUCCCUCUACACAGAUGGGAGUAGCUUCACGGAACAAGGUACGAGGAGGGCAGGGGCGUCAGUCACCACCCUUACUGAAGUUUGUUGGUCCACAGCUUUGCCUGUAGGGCCAUCCACACAAAAAGCAGAACUUACUGCUCUUAGGCAGGCAUUAAUCAUAAGCAAGGACAAAAUUGCCAACAUCUACACGGACAGCUGAUAUGCAUUUGCCAUGGCUCAUGUCCACGGGGCCAUAUAUCAGGAGAGGGGCUUACUAACUGGAGGGAAAAGAAAUUAAAAACAAAGCUGAGAUUUUACAGCUCCUGGAAGCCUUAUGGCUCCCGCGGAAGUUGGCAGUAAUCCACUGCCCAGGACACUAAAAGGGAAAUUCCUCCGAGGCUCAGGGUAACCGAUUAGCUGACCAUGCUGCCAGGGAGGCAGCUUUACCCGGUAGGGUCCUCUUAGCCAUUCCUAACCGGGACUGCCAGACAUACUCAGACAUACUCAGACCAGGAUGAUAAAAACUUCAGCUCUCUAACAAAUACAUACUCCAAGGCUUCAGGCUGGAGAUGCACAGUAGAUGGACACACUAUACUGCCAGACAAAGUAGCCAAACAACUCCUAACGGAUAUACACAAGGCUACCCACCUGGGAACGAAAAAAACAAAAGAACUUAUUCUACAUACAUAGUGACCUUAAAAUAUUUGACCUCAACCAAAUAAUAGAGGAUAUUGCCUCUAACUGCAGGGCUUGCCAUGUUGUCAACCCAAAGGGCACUCAUGGGCCUCCAGGAGGGAAACGAGAAAGGGGCCAAUUGCUGGGAGCCCACUGGGAAGGGGACUUUACAGAAAUAAAACCUGGACGAUAUGGGUAUAAAUACUUACUAGUGUUUGUAGACACCUUCUCAGGAUGGCCUGAAGCCUUCCCACAAAAACAACCUGCCUCCACUGUGGCUAAGUGAUUGCUGGAAGACAUCACCCCCUGGCAUGGCUGUCCCGUUACCCUAGGGUCAGACAACAGACCCACAUUCAUCUCUCAGGUAAUGUAAGGACUAAUGUUCGCGUUGGGGUACAUUGGAAAUUACAUCAUGUGUAUCACCCCCAAAGUUCAGGCCAGGUAGAAAGGAUUAACAGAACUCUAAAAGAGACCCUAACAAAAUUAACCUUAGAAUGGACCCCGCUGGAAUGGACCUCAUACUGUAAUCCUGACCACCCCGACGGCUGUAAAGGUGGACGGCAACUGCACCUGGAUUCACCACUCUCCGGUUAAACUGCUGCCCGGCAAGAGACCAGGACAGACCACCAAGGAAAGCCAGAGCCAAUUGAAGGCCCAGUGUCACCCCGUGGAUCCUCUAAAGAUAAGACUUUGUUGCUCUUAACCCUUCCAACUUUUUUUUUUACUAACUCUCUUCUCCAUAAAAGCGGACAAAAGUCAAAACCCUCAUCAACCUGCCAACACUACGUGGCAAAUAGUCCAUUUUGCUAUCAGAGACAUUUUAAACUCAUCCCAGACCUCCCUGCCCUCCACCUACUUCCCCGAUUUACAAUUUGAUUUAGGGGAAUUACUCCAACUGUCUUGGGCUGAUAGUUUCAUUCAGAAACAUUAUUUCUGUGCGUGCCCUGGGCAUACCCAGGUAAAGACCAUUGGAGAAAAUGGGGAGGAGAAUCCUGUUGUGCCUCCUGGGACUGUGUGUCUACCGGACACAUUUGGUGGUCCGCCCCAUACAAAACGGACCUUAUCAUCCUUUCCCGGAGUUCAGAAUACCUCCCUUGUAAGACUAACGUAGGUAAGUGUAACCCAGUAGUCCUUAAGUUCACGGAAUCUGGUAAAAGGGACAGCCGCUGGAAAGAGGGCCUCACAUGGGGAAUUCGCCUAUACUGAAAAACGAGACUUGGAGCAAGAGACCCAGGGGCACUGUUCACAGUCCGCCAGAUAGUCCAAUAUGGGACCCCCUCCGGGAUUGGCCCAAAUAAAAUUCUAGUCCCAGGGGACAAAGUCCCAACCAACUGUAGCCGCUGCCCCCCACCCUCCCCCCCUCUCCUAAUUCUUCCUGGUCUCAGGAAAUCUUACCUAUGAUCCAGCCAGGGCCCUUUGACAUACUUAAUGCCUCCUUCCUGGUCUCACACGAUUCCCGACCCAACCUCACAAACCACUGUUGGCUUUGCCUCAGUGCUAACCCUCCGUACUACGAUGCUGUAGCUACAGCCGCCAGCAUUAAGCUCACUCAGCUCGCGUCCUCCUGUAGAUGGCAGUCCUCAAAGGGGCUCCCCGUCCAGUCAGUUUCUGGCCAGGGGCUCUGUGUUGGGAACCCCUCUUUUGUGUAUUCGUACCUCUGUAAUCAGAGCCACCAGUAUAAUUCAUCAGGUUCUCUGGUCCUGCCCAAUAACACCUGGUGGGCCUGCACUUCAGGGUUAACGCCCUGUUUACACACACAAGUGUUAAACCAGACUGGUGGCUUCUGCCUAUUGGUCCACCUCAUCCCUGAGUCUCAUACCGUACGGAAGAACAAAUGAUCGCCCUCUGGGAGCCCUGAGCCCCCUCCCUGGCACGAAAAAAAAGAGAUUGCUACUUCAGUCUUACCCUCCUCCCUCCUUGGAAAAGGGGUUACCGGGGCAUUAGGUGCGGGAACAAGUGCGUUAGUUCAAGGCCAAAAUUAUAAGAGUCUACGCUUAGCUAUUGACUGACUUACAAGAAAUAGAAAAAUCUCUCACCUACAAGAAUCACUCUUUUUGGAUGAGGUUGCCCUACAAAAUAGAAGGGGUCUAGACCUCCUCCAACAAGGGGGACUCCACACUGCACUCGGGGGAAAAUGCUGCUUUUACGCAAAUCAUUCAGGGGUUGUAAAAGAAUCCAUGAGCCUAUUAAGAAAAAGGCUUCAUGAGAGAAAACUUGAAAGGGAAAGCUCCCAAUCCUGGUACAAGUCCCUGUUCAACUGGUCUCCCUGGCUGACCGCCCUGAUCUCAGCUCUCGCAGGCCCAUUAAUCAUACUCCUCCUCCUGUUUACUUGUGGACCCUGCGUCCUCAAUGCUUUUGUUACAUUUAUUAUGGAGCAGAUCUCCCCUGUCUAGCGUGUGGUCCUCUGAUCCCAGUUUGCCCAAAUAAAACCUACCCCCGGCCCAUAUGAGACCACCAUAGACUAUGACGCCAAUACAUCCCAAGGAUGUGAGAUGUACUAACACUCAAGAGGGGAAUGAAAGACCUAGGUUGACCAGAGCUACUCCAUUUUUAAAAGUUUCUCCAUUCAGCCCAAACCAAAAACAAGCUCUGGCCACCCCUGGAAUUCUUAGAAUAACUGCCAGAGAGAAACAACCAAUCAGGAUGCUGCCAGAUCACGAGAUGGGGAACUGGCAGUUAGUUUCUAGAACCACCAGAUCAUGAGAUGGGGAACCGGUAAUUAGUUACUAAGGUUCGAACAUACCCUGAUGGCUCUAAACCAGUGGAAAAAGGAAGGCCAACUAGGUCUAACGCAAGAACAAACCAAUCAUGUAAAAGGUAACCUAAACCGCCAUGGAAAUCCCCUAAAGCCCUUUAAAAGAGGCCUGUGAGCCGACUCCGAGGUCGCCAUUUUGGAUGGUGGACCCCAGCGUGCUGGAGGUUUGGCCUGACAAUAAACGGUCCUUGCUAAAUUGCA